rnacentral:rRNA from 1 species
UACGUAGGGACCGAGCGUUGUCCGGAAUCAUUGGGCGUAAAGAGCGUGUAGGCGGCCUUUUAAGUCCUGCGUGAAAUCCUGCGGCUCAACCGCAGACGGUCGUGGGAAACUGGGAAGGCUAGAGUGCGGGAGAGGAGAGUGGAAUUCCCGGUGUAGCGGUGAAAUGCGCAGAUAUCAGGAGGAACACCAAUUGCGAAGGCAGCUCGCUGGGACGUUACUGACGCUGAGACGCGAAAGCGUGGGGAGCAAACAGG